AGCGAACGCUGGCGGCAGGCCUAACACAUGCAAGUCGAACGGGCUCUUCGGAGCUAGUGGCGGACGGGUGAGUAACACGUGGGAACGUGCCUUUAGGUUCGGAAUAAGCCCGGGAAACUGGGUCUAAUACCGAAUGUGCCCUUCGGGGGAAAGAUUUAUCGCCUUUAGAGCGGCCCGCGUCUGAUUAGCUAGUUGGUGGGGUAAUGGCCCACCAAGGCUACGAUCAGUAGCUGGUCUGAGAGGAUGACCAGCCACAUUGGGACUGAGACACGGCCCAAACUCCUACGGGAGGCAGCAGUGGGGAAUCUUGCGCAAUGGGCGAAAGCCUGACGCAGCCAUGCCGCGUGGAUGAUGAAGGUCUUAGGAUUGUAAAAUCCUUUCACCGGUGAAGAUAAUGACUGUAGCCGGAGAAGAAGCCCCGGCUAACUUCGUGCCAGCCGCCGCCGUAACAC
rnacentral:rRNA from 1 species